AUGCAGCACAAAUGGAGAGUUCCAAACAAUGGAAAGAAGUGGCAGUCUUUGGCUGAGUUUGCAGCCAGCCUCAUCCAUCCAUCCUACAAGGAAAUGAAGGGGAAGAUCAACAAGAAAUUGGACCACAAACGAUGGGGGGACAGCCCACUGCCAAACAACCUCAUCGAGUACGCAGCGAAAGAUGCGUACGUCACCUACGAGGCAUGGAAGAAAAUCGAAACCAUCAAAGAAGGUUUGGAGCAAUGGCAAGAGGCGGAGGAUCAUUGGGAUGACCCCUACUACUGGGGAUAUUGA
rnacentral:rRNA from 1 species